rnacentral:rRNA from 1 species
GACGAACGCUGGCGGCGUGCUUAACACAUGCAAGUCGAACGGAAAGGCCCUGCUUUUGUGGGGUGCUCGAGUGGCGAACGGGGGAGUAACACGUGAGUAACCUGCCCUUGACUUUGGGAUAACUUUAGGAAACUGGGGCUAAUACCGGAUAGGAGCUCCUGCUGCAUGGUGGGGGUUGGAAAGUUUCGGCGGUUGGGGAUUGACUCGCGGCUUAUCAGCUUGUUGGUGGGGUAGUGGCUUACCAAGGCUUUGACGGGUAGCCGGCCUGAGAGGGUGACCGGCCACAUUGGGACUGAGAUACGGCCCAGACUCCUACGGGAGGCAGCAGUGGGGAAUAUUGCACAAUGGGCGGAAGCCUGAUGCAGCAACGCCGCGUGCGGGAUGACGGCCUUCGGGUUGUAAACCGCUUUCGCCUGUGACGAAGCGUGAGUGACGGUAAUGGGUAAAGAAGCACCGGCUAACUACGUG